rnacentral:tRNA from 1 species
GGCGCGGUGGCGAAGCGGUAACGCAGGGGUCUGCAAAACCUCCAUGCACGGGUUCGAUCCCCGUUCGCGCCU